rnacentral:lncRNA from 1 species
CUUCCGCUUCUGCUGUCUUGAUGACGCACAGUGCUGGCGCAAGUCGUCUUGCGCCAGGCGACUGGGUCUGAGGAGGCAGGAGUUAUUCAUUCCCUUAAGCUUUCAGGCCGGGGGGAGAAUCUUUCAGGUGGUAGCUGCAAGAACUCUUAGUAUGUUGACCUCACCUCUGCCUUCCACAUACCACUACCAGUGAGGAAUUAGGAAUGCAUGAGAAGAGUGUCCAAGAAGAGUGUCCUCAUUCAUGCAAGGCUUAAGAGAGAAUGCAGGUCAACAUCACCAUGUCAAUCAGAGAAUACUUCUGUUGGGUUGAAUGACUCUCUGCCCCCAGGUGCAGAUGCUGAGAGCACUUUCUAGUCAAGUCCUGCAUGUUCAUUUCUGUCUCAAGUCAGCUUCUCUGAGAAUCCAAUUUAUAAAAAUAUAUUUGUGAAUGUAUAAGUAAAGUGACUUGGAUUUUGUCUACGUACAAGGACUUCUAUGCCUGCAUAAAACAGUCUGACUGGUUGGAAGAGGCCCUUUUCCCAGCCUUUGUAGUGUUUUGCUGCUACAUGAAGGUGCACAUGUCUGGGAAGGCUCAGGAAUGGAUGUUGACAUCAUGUCAUAAACCCCUAUUGUGGUUUCAGUCAUUUGUGGAAUGGUUGCAGAUGGCGAUCAACUGAAGAACGGAUUUGUGGCGUUGUUGGUCUCACCAUGUGAUACAUUGGCUCCCAGUCACCUUCUGCCAUGAUUGUAAGCUUCCUGAGGCCCUCACCAGAAGGUGAACAGAUGCUGGCACUAUGUUUCCUGUACAACCUGUAGAACCAUGAGCUGAUAAAAC